GUGUGGCACCUCCUGUGUCACCUCUUUGUGUCACCCCUGUGCCAUCAGCGUCCCCUCAUUGUCCCUCCAGUGUCACCCCAAUGUCCCCUCCCUGUCCCCUUAUUGUCACGCUCAGUGUCCCCACUGUCCCCUCAGUGUCCCCAAUGUCCCUGUCACUGUGUCCCCAGUGUCCCCAAUUGUCACUUGCAGUGUCCCCAACCGUCACCUCAUCAAUGUCCCCUCAGUGUCCCCAAUGUCCCCUCAGUGUCCCCGUCACUGUCCCCUCACAGUGUCCCUGAUUGUCACAUCAUCGAUGUCCCCUCAGUGUCCCCAAUGUCCCCUCACAGUGUCCCCGACUGUCACAUCAUCGACGUCGAGGUCACACCACUGUCACCCUCAGUGUCCCUGUCGUUGUCCCCAGUGUCCCCGACUGUCACAUUGUCCCUGUCCCCUCACAGUGUCCCCGACUGUCACAUCAUCGAUGUCGAGGUCACCGCCGUCCCCGAGCGCGGCCGCUCCCUCACCGUCACCAGCACCCGCCGCAACCCCGCCGAGCCCGGCCGCGUCACCGGCAGCGCCACCCGCCACAGCUUCUGGAGCAGCGUGCAGGCCUGCACCGGACACGGCGGUUGCGUCAAGCUUUGCUGAGGAGGAACGGCGGAAAAAACCUGCGGGGGACAUUUUGGGGACAUUUUGGGGACAAUUUGGGGACAAUAAAACCUGGCAAGGCCUGGCCGUGGUGUCGCCCUUCUUAAAAUGGCGGCGAGGGGUAGGCGCGAUCUGAUUGGUGGAAAGACUGCCAGGAAGGAAAGAUUCUCGCCGCUGAUUGGGUAACGCUGCGGUGCAAAGCAUCACAGGAAGAAGGUCAAAGCGCUGAUUGGUCAGACGCUGAGGAGGGAGGAGAGUGGCGCGUUCUGAUUGGUUAGUGCCUCGCAAAGCACGACGGGAGUUGUAGUCCGCGGCCCUGAGGGGGCAGAGGCCGCCAUGGCCCUGGAGGACGCGCGGGGUGAGGAGGGGGCGGCCCAGCCGGAUUUUGGGGG
rnacentral:lncRNA from 1 species